GUCCCUGUAGCUCAGCUGGAUAGAGCAACUGCCUUCUAAGCAGUGGGUCGCCUGUUCGAAUCAGGCCAGGGACGCAA
rnacentral:tRNA from 1 species